CACUCCUGCGGGAGGCAGCAGUGGGGAAUUUUGGACCAUGGGCGAAAGCCUGAUCCAGCAAUGCCGCGUGUGUGAAGAAGGCCUUCGGGUUGUAAAGCACUUUUGUCCGGAAAGAAAUCCUUGGCUCUAAUACAGUCGGGGGAUGACGGUACCGGAAGAAUAAGCACCGGCUAACUACGUGCCAGCAGCCGCGGUAAUACGUAGGGUGCGAGCGUUAAUCGGAAUUACUGGGCGUAAAGCGUGCGCAGGCGGUUUGCUAAGACCGAUGUGAAAUCCCCGGGCUCAACCUGGGAACUGCAUUGGUGACUGGCAGGCUAGAGUAUGGCAGAGGGGGGUAGAAUUCCACGUGUAGCAGUGAAAUGCGUAGAGAUGUGGAGGAAUACCGAUGGCGAAGGCAGCCCCCUGGGCCAAUACUGACGCUCAUGCACGAAAGCGUGGGGAGCAAACAGGAUUAGAUACCCUUGUAGUCCCAUGAU
rnacentral:rRNA from 1 species